AACGAACGCUGGCGGCAUGCCUAACACAUGCAAGUCGAACGAGACCUUCGGGUCUAGUGGCGCACGGGUGCGUAACGCGUGGGAACCUGCCCUUAGGUUCGGAAUAACUCCCGAAAGGGGUGCUAAUACCGGGUAAUGUUUUCGGACCAAAGUUUUAUCGCCUUUGGAUGGGCCCGCGUUGGAUUAGCUAGUUGGUAGGGUAAAAGCCUACCAAGGCGACGAUCCAUAGCUGGUCUGAGAGGAUGAUCAGCCACACUGGGACUGAGACACGGCCCAGACUCCUACGGGAGGCAGCAGUGGGGAAUAUUGGACAAUGGGCGAAAGCCUGAUCCAGCAAUGCCGCGUGAGUGAUGAAGGCCUUAGGGUUGUAAAGCUCUUUUACCCGGGAUGAUAAUGACAGUACCGGGAGAAUAAGCUCCGGCUAACUCCGUG
rnacentral:rRNA from 1 species